UCAUAAGAAUAGAGAAUUUUGAAACAUUAUCAGAAUUUGAAGAAUAUAUAUAAGAGCAAGCUCACUGAAAAUUUACUCAGAAAUCUAUUUGCACACAAGAUAAAUCAGUGCUGUCACUUUCCAUCCCCAUCAUUUUCCACGCAAACCAUAUCCACCUCUUACGUUAUGUACGACACUUUGGUCUCAAACAAAACGAGAGAAAAUCCACUUCCGUAAUGAAACAAGACCAAAACUCGCUUCGUAUAUCGGUAGUUUCGAGAACUAACCUCACAUAUACUCUCAACUUAACUAUCAAACGAAUGUGUUUGACAAAGAGAAAGAAGCAAUUAAGAGCAACACGAAUUCUUCGAUCUCGCGAAUAAUUCGAUCUAUGAUCACUGAUUUAUCAUCUCUUUCCUAAAUAGGAGAGGAAGGAACAAUGCUUAAAUUUUUUCAGAAACGAACUCGCGAGAAGGCUACCCUCUGGUGACGAAAGGAAUAAUUAAGAAAAGAAAAAAAUUCGAAUGACAGAAGAAGUACCUACAGGAAGAAACGUUAUCGAAGAUUUUCAAAACGGCGCAUUUUCCUCGGUCCGCUUAGGGCCUGGGGCCGCCUAGUUGGGCGAGCGUCGCGACGCCACGCGAGGCAAGCCUUUUUCGUGCCUGUCGGGCAACCACCAUCCCACGAGAAUGCGGGGGCGUCGUGACGAGAGCAUAUAUUCGACGUCGGGACGCUCCGGAGGCACAGACGCCACUCCAACUCUGUCCCGUGCACGAGCAUUAAAAUCGAAGAAGAAACAAAAUGUGUGACGACGAAGUAGCAGCCCUUGUUGUCGACAAUGGAUCCGGUAUGUGCAAGGCCGGUUUCGCCGGAGACGACGCCCCCCGCGCCGUCUUCC